rnacentral:rRNA from 1 species
GUGAGGAAUAUUGGUCAAUGGGCGGGAGCCUGAACCAGCCAAGUCGCGUGAAGGAAGAAGGAUCUAUGGUUCGUAAACUUCUUUUGCAGGGGCAUAAAGUGCAGGACGUGUCCUGUUUUGUAUGUACCCUGAGAAUAAGGAUCGGCUAACUCCGUGCCAGCAGCCGCGGUAAUACGGAGGAUCCGCGCGUUAUCCGGAUUUAUUGGGUUUCAAGGGUGCGUAGGGGGUUUGAUAAGUCAGCGGUGAAAGUUUGCAGCUUAACUGUAAAAAUGCCGAUGAAACUGUCGGACUUGGCUGUCAAUGAGGUAGGCGGAAUGCGUGGUGUAGCGGUGAAAUGCAUAGAUAUCACGCAGAACUCCGAUUGCGAAGGCAGCUUACUAAGCUGCAACUGACACUGAAGCACGAAAGCGUGGGGAUCAAACAGGAUUAGAAGCCCCUGUAGUCC